rnacentral:rRNA from 1 species
UACGGGGGGGAGCAAGCGUUGUUCGGAUUUACUGGGCGUAAAGGGCGCGUAGGCGCCUCCGCAAGUCAGUUGUGAAAUCUCCGAGCUUAACUCGGAAAGGUCAACUGAUACUGCGGGGCUAGAGUGCGGAAGGGGCAACUGGAAUUCUUGGUGUAGCGGUGAAAUGCGUUAGAUAUCAAGAGGAACACCGAUUGCGAAGGCAGCUCGCUGGGACGUUACUGACGCUGAGACGCGAAAGCGUGGGGAGCAAACAGG